UACCUUGUUACGACUUAGUCCCAGUCACCAACCCCACCUUUGACAGCUCCCUCCCUUACGGGUUAGGAUACCGGCUUCAGGUGUUGCCAGCUUCCAUGACUUGACGGGCGGUGUGUACAAUCCCCGGGAACGUAUUCACCGCAGUAUAGCUGACCUGCGGUUACUAGCAACUCCAACUUCAUGCAGGCGAGUUGCAGCCUGCAAUCUGAACUGAGGACAGCUUUAGAGGAUUGGCUCCGCCCCGCGGCUUGGCAACCUGUUGUACUGUCCAUUGUAGCGUGUGUGUAGCCCUGGAUAUAAAGGUCAUGCUGACUUGACGUCAUCCGCACCUUCCUCCGGCUUAAUACCAGCGGUAUUGUGUGACACAUAUAACACACAACGCGGGUUGCGCUCGUUAGCGGACUUAACCGAACAUCUCACGACACGAGCUGACGACAGCCAUGCAACACCAGUAACAGCUCCCCGAAGGGUCGGUCCGAUUUCUCUUCCCUACCACUGCUAUGUCAAACCCAGGUAAGGUUCUUCGUGUAGCAACGAAUUAAACCACACGCUCCGCUGCUUGUGCGGGGACCCGUCAAUUCCUUUGAGUUUUAACCUUGCGGCCGUAGUCCCCAGGCGGUAGACUUAUCGCGUUAGCUUGGACACCGACAGCUAUUACACCACCGACGUCUAGUCUACAUCGUUUAGGGCUAGGACUACCGGGGUCUCUAAUCCCGUUUGCUACCCUAGCUUUCGCGUCUGAGUGUCAGGAAUGGUCCAGGAGGCCGCUUUCGCCACUGGUGUUCCUCCAGAUAUCUGCGCAUUCCACCGCUACACCUGGAAUUCCACCUCCCUCUACCAUCCUCUAGUUCUGCAGUUUAGAACGGCCUCUCCCAGUUGAGCCGGGAGCUUCCACGCCCUACUUACAAACCACCUACACGCGCUUUACGCCCAGUAAAUCCGGAUAACG
rnacentral:rRNA from 1 species